CGGUGCAGCAAAAUCCGGAGGUUACGGAAUUCAUUUGAAGAGCACGCGAUGCUUACAUUUUGGCAGAAUAGCGAGCGGUAAGGCGGAUGCAACCGGUAUGCAGCGUUGAUCCAGGGGAAUCGAAAUUGUUUCGGCGUCGGCAUGUUUUCUUAAAGCAUUGCAGAGAUGACCUGAAGUGUUUUUAGCACGAAUUCACAGCUUCAACAGCAGCAUCUUUCAACUGAGUGCUGGCAUUGAGUGCUUCACUUCAGAUGAAAAACUAAAGCCACAUCCCAGGGUCAGUGGCUUUCCCAGUAACGCUUAGGACGUAAGAAUGCAUACUUAUCAUCCUUCACGCUCACACAGCACGGCUCCCACAAAU
rnacentral:lncRNA from 1 species